rnacentral:lncRNA from 1 species
UUGGGGAGUGGAUGUAGGAGCAGUGGAAGCUCCGAACCACUAUAAACUUUUGUGUUUGCGAUUGACUGUGGUUACAACUUUAGUUUCACUUUUGCACAUACACUUGUGUGUUUUCUUUUAAUCAGACAAAAAGUUUUUAAAACACCCAAUUCACCCCCCUCUUGGGUUGUAUCUACUGGGCAACAAGUGGUAUCAGAGCAGGUGCUCUUCUAUUAAUUAUAGUCUUAACCGACUAGAGCUAAAGAUUAUGACAACCCCAUAUAACAUAUUAUUUGCCGAGGGACUUUUCAUAAACAGACCUCCACUGUUUGAUGGAACAUAUUAUAUUCAAUGAAAAGCUAGAAUGAAAAUUUUUGUUCAAUCACAAAACUAUAGAAUAUGGAAUAUCAUUGUAGAUGGACCUCA